CCCUUAGAUGUUCUGGGCUGCAUGCGCGCUACACUGAAGCUAUCAACACGUUUUCCCUCCCUGAGAAGGGCGGGUAACCUUUUGAAUCAGCUUCGUGGUAGGGAUCGGGGCUUGCAAUUGUUCCCCGUGAACCAGGAAUUCCUAGUAGACGCGAGUCAUAAGCUCGCAUCGAUUAAGUCCCUGCCCUUUGUACACACCGCCCGUCGCUACUACCGAUUGAACGUUUUAGUGAGGCAUUUGGACCGACGCAUCUCAGUUUAACCGCUGGUUUGUGUUGGAAAGACUUCCAAACUUGAGCGUUUAGAGGAAGUAAAAGGCGUAACA
rnacentral:rRNA from 1 species